rnacentral:lncRNA from 1 species
AUGACAUGCAGACGUGUCUUUGUGCUAAAUGGCAGCUGAAUGGGUGCCAGCGAGAGAGGUUAUUAAGCACAGAUAAGAGGCAGCACCUCUAUUCACUGGCAAUGUCACUUUCUCCCAUUUGAGGAGAGACAUUUGUUCAAGACACUUUUUUUCUCCUCUCACUGACAAUACGUAAGGCAGAAAGUUGGUGUCUACGUUGCUGCAUGGCUGCAGAAUAGAUUGUUUCGAGAAGGUGAACUCUGGAAAGAACUGAGUGGAAAUAAGACAUAUAGGAGACCAACAAAAGGGAUCAAGAUGUCAGAUUUGAUAAGCAAUUGAUAAAGAGAUUUAGAAGUGUGGCUUUAGACCUGUGGCUCAAAUAGUGGUUUGAAAGCAGAAUCAAGGAUUAAUCAAAGUGACUUCAUCAUCUCCGUAUCAGAGACCGUUUAUAAUACUGUCCAAAGUGCUGAAUGCUUGUUAUAUGGAGGCAGAUAAUUUGAUGGAGCUACAUCUAACUUGACGUAGAGACCACAGUGUGUCACCAGAGAUUCUGGCCUCCUGAGCUGGAUGCAGAAACUGAGAGAACUUGGAGUUGACUCCCAUGGGGAGUGGGUACCUCCUCAGGAAACUCUGAAAAAGAAGAAGUAGAAAUAGUAUGAGACAAGAAACAGUCAUAUUCCAAAGAAUGAAAUACUGUUACAAAUGAUGGAUCCAGAAAAUCUUAUCUGGCAACUUGCUGUUAUUUUCAGUAAGCCUGAUGAUGAAGAAGAAAGGAAAGAAGAAAAGAGGUUAUCUUCGAAGAGAUAAUGACUGAAAAAUUUCAAGAACUGAUAAAAGACGCCAACCUACAUAUUCAAGAAGGAUAAGUAUCCAAAGAAUGGUAAAUCAAAAUAAAUCUCCAUCCAGAAACAACUUAAAAAAAACACACACACAAUAAAUGAAAACUUCAAGAUGAGAUGCUACAAAUACAUAUUUAUCAGUACUUUAAAAAAUUACAUUCAAAUGCUGCAUAGCUGCAAAAUUUAUAGAAAUUACAUAGUUACAUUGAUUAUCAUCUACGAAUUUAACAAUACCUACAAAAAUGGUAGAAUAGAGAUUUAGAUGAAUGCAUAGAGAAUCUGUCUAAGAAAAUUAACAAGGUAUAUAGGUCCUAUAGAACACUGAAUCUAAUACAAAAUACAUACUGUUUUCAAAUAUAUAUAGAAUAUUCACUUACUGUAAAAUAUACCUCAACAAAUUUCAAGGGCUCGGAAGGACAUUACAAUCUGUAUUACAGAGAGUAUAAAUAGAUUACUAAAAAUAAAAUGGUGACCAGGAAAGUAUAAGCUACAAAAUUAAGAAAAAAGAUUCCAAAUAUUUUUGAGUCAAAGUCACAGUGCUACUAGAAAUUGGAAAAUAUUUAUAAACUUAAUUAAAAAUAUUUCAAAACUUAUCAGUUAAGGUUAUAUUACUUAAAGAGAAAUAGGCCAAAUCAAGGGUCAGUAAACUGGCUUGUUGCUCAAAGCCAGCCUAUUGAUGUUUUUGCACAGCUAUUGGGAUAAGAAUUUUUGAACACUUGUUAAGGGUUUAAAAGUAGGGUUUAAAAAAUGUAAAGAUAUUUGACAGAGUCCAUAUAUGUCCUGCAUAAGUUAAGAUAUUCACUAUCAGCCAAUUUACAAAAAAAAAGUUUACUUAUUUCUAUAUACAUGCUUAUAUUAGAAAAGAAAAAUAAUGAACUGAAGAGAGCAUAUUUCCUAGGAAAUUAAUAAAGGACCAG